rnacentral:rRNA from 1 species
GAUAAACGCUGGCGGCGUGCCUAAUACAUGCAAGUCGAUCGCUGGAAACCUAGCUUGCUAGGUGGAAGGAGAGGCGAACGGGUGAGUAAGACAUAAGCAACCUGCCUACAAAGACUGGGAUAAUCUCUGGAAACGGGGACUAAAACCGGAUAGGUAAUGAGACCACAUGGUCACAUUAUUAAAGGUGAGAAACACUAGUAGAUGGGCUUAUGGCGCAUUAGUUAGUUGGUAAGGUAACGGCCUACCAAGACGAUGAUGCGUAGCCGGGCUGAGAGGCUGAACGGCCACAUUGGGACUGAGACACGGCCCAGACUCCUACGGGAGGCAGCAGUAGGGAAUUUUCGGCAAUGGGGGCAACCCUGACCGAGCAACGCCGCGUGAGUGAUGAAAGUCUUCGGAUUGUAAAGCUCUGUUAUAAGGGAAGAACGUCCUUGAUAGGAUCAGGGAGUGACGGUACCUUAUCAGAAAGCUACGGCUAACUACGUG